AACAAAAGAUUGACGUCGAGAGGAAUGGUACAUUCCGGAGGUCCGGGCGGAAGCGGUCUCUCCUUCCCUUGGCGUGGAGGCGCGGCGCAAGAUGGCGGCCCCGGGGUAUUUUGCAUAUGUCAUCUUAAUCUUAAUAUUUGUGGCAAGCAUACAGGCUCUGACUCCUAGCCACUUUCUCACAAAACAUGAUCUUCAAAGGUUACGAGCUUCAUUGGAGCGUCCAUUCACUGAUUUGGAAGGAAGCUAUUACUCUAUUGUGGGAUUGAACAAACUUGGAGGAAAAGUAGCUGAUGAAAAGGCUGCCUGUAACUUCAUCAAAUCAAAGGUGGAUCCAAACAGCAUUGAUUCCCUUUUCUAUGCUGCACAGGCGAGUCAAGCAUUGUCUGGAUGUGAGGUUGCCAUUUCAAAUGAAACUAGAGAGCUGCUACUUGCUGCUGUCAGUGAAGAUUCUUCAGUAAGCCAAAUCUACCAUGCCGUUGGAGCCUUGAGUGGCUUUGGACUGCCUCUGGCUUCCCAAGAAGCCCUGACUGCCCUGACAUCUCGCCUUAGCAAGGAAGAGAAUGUCUUGGCAACAAUCCAAGCUUUGCAGACAGCGUCAUACCUAUCUCAGCAGGCAGACCUAAGAGGCAUUGUGGAAGAGAUAGAGGAUCUUGUUGCCAGACUGGAUGAUCUGGGAGGAGUGUAUCUACAGUUUGAGGAAGGACUUGAGACAACUGCAUUGUUUGUGUCUGCUACUUACAAACUCUCUGACCAUGUAGGGACAGAGCCAGCAAUGAAAGAGGAGCAGAUCAUCCAGCUGGUGAAUGCAAUUUUCAGCAAGAAGAACUUUGAGAUUCUUUCUGAAGCAUUCAGCGUAGCUUGCGCUGCAGCUUCCCUUUCCCAGAAUAAUUACCAUUUGCCAAUCAUUGCAGUCCCUGAAGGGCCUGCGGCUGUUUCUCACCAUCAGCCCAUUCUCAAGCUCCAGGUGACAAAUGUUAUGUCACAGCCACUGACCCAGGCAAGUGUGAACUUGGAUCAAGCAAAAUCUGUUGCUACUAAAGCCACUGUCCUCCAGCAGUCUGCCUUUGCCCUGUCUGGAGAUAACUUUGAGCUGAACUUCAUGAGUGUUAAGCCUGCCAGUGGCUACUAUGAUUUUGCAAUCAGCAUUGAUGGAGACAGUCGAUUUAUUGCAAACAAAGUGGAGCUGAAAGUCAAGGUCUCAACAGAAGUUGGCAUUUCAAAUGUGGAUCUCUUCACUGUGGAUAAAGAUCAGAGCAUUGCACCAAAAACUACCAGGGUCACUUACCCAACGAAAGCCAAAGGAUCCUUCACUGCUGACAGCCAUCAGAAUUUUGCCUUGUCUUUCCAGUUAGUCGAUGUGAACACUGGAGCAGAACUCAUCCCUCACCAGACCUUUGUUCGUCUUCACAAUCAGAAGACCGGUCAAGAAGUAGUGUUUGUUGCAGAACCAGAUAGCAAAAAUAUCUACAAGUUUGAGCUGGAUACUUCAGAGAGGAAAACAGAGUUUGAUUCUGCCUCUGGAACCUAUACUCUUUACUUGAUCAUUGGCGAUGCUACUCUGGAAAACCCAAUCCUCUGGAAUGUGGCUGAUGUUGUCAUCAAAUUUCCAGAAGAAGAUGCUCCAUCCACAGUUCUGUCAAAAACCCUUUUCACUCCAAAGCCAGAGAUACAGCACCUGUUCAGAGAACCUGAGAAGAGACCUCCCACUGUGGUAUCUAACACAUUCACAGCCUUGAUUCUCUCUCCACUGCUUUUGCUCUUUAUUUUGUGGAUAAAGAUUGGGGCCAACAUAUCCAACUUCAGCUUUGCUCCAAGCACCAUUAUAUUCCAUUUGGGCCAUGCGGCCAUGUUGGGGCUCAUGUAUGUCUACUGGACCCAGCUCAAUAUGUUUCAGACCAUGAAGUACCUGGCUAUACUUGGCAGCCUCACCUUCCUAGCAGGCAACAGAAUGUUAGCACAGAAAGCUGUGAAAAGGAUCGCUGCAGAACAGAGCAGUAGGUUGGCAAAAUAUAGAACACUGCGGUAAAAGGGUUAUUUACUAGUGACCAGCUCUUCUUCCUAGAAGAAAGACAUGAAGCUACCAGGUGAGAGUUACCUUAAUAAGAACACACUAAUGUCAGAAGAAAGGAAGAACUGAAGGAAGAUCAGUUUGAGGUACAAAGGAAAGGAGCCAAAGAAGAGUUUAAAGGCCAGAAACUGAAAUGUGGAAAAUAAUUGCCUGUAAUGUUGGAAAGAUGUCUUUUUUUUUUUUUUACAAGAAGUGUUUCCCCACUGUUUCUGUUCAGUGUCUGAAAUGCUUUGUUUCAUGACAUAAAAAUUCUUGCCUACGACCCGGAAUGAUAGAUAUUGAUGAGCCCCAAACCUGUUGUUUUGUCUUUUUUUUCCAUUAAAAUAAAAUAGACAAAAAGGAGCAGUUUUUGCAUAKA